UAUCCGAAAGGGCAAAUCUUGAGUAAUCAAGAGACGCAAAGUUCCAGUCCGGCAUAUGCUUCAAAA
rnacentral:ncRNA from 1 species